GAAGCUGGCUAGACAGUCGCUGCGCGCGUAAGCGCGGAGAGGAAAGUCCGGGCUCCAUAGAGCAGGAUGCCGGUUAACGACCGGAGGCCGUGAGGCCAUGGAAAGUGCCACAGAAAAUACACCGCCGAUGGCCGUUCCGCAAGGGGUGGAUCAGGUAAGGUUGAAAUGGCGAGGUAAGAGCUCACCGCGCACCUGGCAACAGGAGUGGCAGGGUAAACCCCAUCCGGAGCAAGACCAAAUAGGCAGGCGUUGAGGCGGCUCGUCGAGCCUGCGGGUAGGUUGCUUGAGUUCACGGGUAACCGUGCGCCUAGAGGAAUGACUGUCCACGACAGAACCCGGCUUAUCGGCCAGCUUCACCC
rnacentral:RNase_P_RNA from 2 species